UACGUAGGGGGCAAGCGUUGUCCGGAUUUAUUGGGCGUAAAGCGCUCGCAGGUGGUCCGUCGCGUCGUGCGUGAAAGACCCCGGCUCAACCGGGGGGUGUCGUGCGAUACGGGCGGACUGGAGGCCAGUAGGGGGAUGCGGAAUUCCGGGUGUAGUGGUGGAAUGCGUAGAGAUCCGGAGGAACACCAGCGGCGAAGGCGGCAUCCUGGACUGGUCCUGACACUCAGGAGCGAAAGCGUGGGGAGCGAACCGG
rnacentral:rRNA from 1 species